CUAAAGAAAAUGGCAAGUAAAAUAACGAAAAGAUUGUACCCAGGGUGAAAAAUACAUUGUUGCCCAUUAAAGAAUUGCUGCUAGUGAACAGAUGAAAUUUUUUAAGUUUGCAAAAGCAGCACCAUUUCUUUCAUCUCUGUUUUUAUUCCACGUCGCUUAGGUUCACACUGAACUUUUCUGCUGUAACAUUCAUUGAUCAACUGCUGCAUUGUUGAAGGCUCUCUCACAAUAGACUUCUGCUGACUCAUCACAGAAGUGUGUUUAUUUAAUAUUUUAUUCGUUCUGCUUCUUUCCUCCUCUUCAGGUGUCAAUUUUGGAAGGACUGAAUACUGACUAAUGAAAGGAGCUAGAGAAACUCAUUGCUACUAAUUCACUGCAAUCAUAAUUAUCACCCUAACAGAUGCUGGAAGCUGCACCAGCCCUCCCAUGCAGUAGAACUCUGGAUUAGCUUCUCUGCUGUCAAUGGAGACACUGAAUGGGUGCACAGGAAUAGAGCAGGGAACAGAAGUUGUUGGCAGCAUUGCAAAAAUAUUUUGUUUCUACUUGGCAUUUUAUCAAGGGACAGAGCAGGAAAACCAGGUCGAAAGAGUGGUUCUGCUUGGCCAUUUUGGUUUUAUCUCCAUUUCUAAAUGUAUCCAGCACCUAGGAGCCCUGGAGAGGUCAG